rnacentral:misc_RNA from 1 species
AAGUCGUAACAAGGUUUCCGUAGGUGAACCUGCGGAAGGAUCAUCAAUAAUCCAAAUGAUUAAUAGUUUUUUUUUUAAAACUAUUAAUUAAAACCUUCUUGUGAACUGUUUAAUGUUUUUGGUUGGGAGUAAAAUAGUGUGAUGUCUUAUUAGACGGAUCAACUCCCAAUUGAACAUCUAUACAAACUAUUUUAUUUUUUUAAAGUUGAUUAUUUAUACAGGAAACUGUACUAAUAUAAAUACAACUUUUAGCGAUGGAUCUCUAGGCUCUG